UCCAUCCAGUCGUUAAGUGCACACAUUUUACUCCACAUGUGACUUUGUCAUGACCAAAUUGUAUAUCAUCUCUAUUUUCACAUAGAAACAGCCAGUUAUCUUGUAUCCUUGCUUUUAUCAUGACAAAAUUUUUGGAAAAUGUAAGGUUUUUACAAGUCGAGGUAAAGUGUGGGGGGGGGGGUGAUUGCGUAGGGGUGGUUGACUGUGGUGUAGUAGGACAACUGGAGAAGUUAGGUUUACGCGUUAUUUGUGGUCCUUGUGACGGGAACUGGUCAACCUGUGAAAGACCUUAUUUAGUGAAAUUGGUCGAUUAAGAAGGUUGCUGUUCAAAAAACAGGUUACACUAGUCAAAUUCGGAUUCGGAAAUGAAUUAUUAUUCAAAAAUGAAUCUGGACCUCUCCAUUGCAAAAUUUGGAUUCAAGUUUAGAUCGCGAUUACAUUUAUUUCAUUAAAGGAACACUACUUAUUUUGAUUAAAAUUGUGUCUGGAAUAGUGUGCAACACCAAUGCAGUUACAAUGGGAAGACUGUAUUAAAAAUGGGACAACAAUCACCAGGACAUCGUUCGUAUUCACUUUACAAUGCGCCAUCUAGUUCUAAUUAGGUUAAGAGACAAAUAUUAGGUUAAGUCAUACAACAGAAUUUUGCAUAAUCUUGUCCGGCUUAAAGCAAACUAAAUCGUGCGUAACACAAAACGAUCCAAAUUUAUCGAAUCACAAAGUCUUUAAAUCGUUAUAUCUUAAAAAAAUACCUGGUAUUUGUACUGAAUUAUAAAAACUACUAGGAUUUUAAACUUUGUUGUUAUGUGUGACUUCAAAAUUUUUGGUCCAUUUCAGACAAUAAUUAGUUAAUUCAGCUGGAAAGCAAUUUUGUAGCUCAUACAUAUUUUGCCUGAUUAACGACCUUUCUUAAUUCAUUCUUCAAACUUUUGACAUGCCGGUUAUUUAAUUGUUUAAAACAAUUUCAUCUUCACAUUCGUGCUAAAUUUUUAACACUUUUUAACACUAUGUAUCGUGUAAAGCUGGCUAGUGCUGUAAUCUAAAUAAUUUUGUCCGCUUCGGGUCACCAUGAUCUUACUUAGACAAAGGGCAGAAAACAAAAGUUAACCCUUAGCCGAGGAGAAACGGUAACUAUGUUUGGCGUUGCUGCGGGGCGUUUCGAUGACCACAAUUGUGAUCAUUCGGGAAGCCAAAAAAUAAUUAUUCGGGAGGAAAUUCGUUACAGCUACCCCCACAACUUUCGUAAACUCAACUCGUUUACCACGCAAAUAUCCGGGUCUGGGUCAGCCAAUCGUAGAGGAAUGUCAGGUCAUAUAGUUUCGUUUGUUGGAUACGAUAAUAGUAUGAAUGAUAAUGCGUUUUCACAGUCAUUCGCUUUGUUGGAGGUUUGUUGGGAAAGCAAUCAUUAACCUCUAUUAAUAAUAUAAUAAGACAUGUACCCUUCAGUGAUGGCGUUGGGCAUGUUCAAAAUGGUGACGAGGAGGUAUCCACGCACGUACCACAGCCUUAUUUACAUGAUACAUUGGUUAUUCCAUCCUAAAGCUUAUUAAGCCAGUCGGCGUUUUUACUAUAGAAAUUGUGUAUGGCAAAUAAGUAAUUUUUAGGCACAAUAAUUUUCCUUGUAAUUAGUGUAUCUUUACAGGAAAGAAAAGAUUUAAUUUUGUUAAUAUAAAAGUUCCUAAAUGUAA